CGGGUUGUUGCUGGCCCCCAAAAGGGGCACGUGCACGCUCUGUUUACACAUCCACUCACACCUGUGCACCCUCUGUAGUUCUGUGGAUCGGGAGACGUCGUCUUCCUUCUGCGGCUCUACUUCUUUACACACACACUGUAGCGAAGUCUCAUGGAAUGUUUUUUCGCGUUUAACGCAAUACAAUACAACUUUCAGCAACGGAUCUCUUGGCUCUCGCAUCGAUGAAGAACGCAGCGAAAUGCGAUAAGUAAUGUGAAUUGCAGAAUUCAGUGAAUCAUCGAAUCUUUGAACGCACCUUGCGCCCCUUGGUUAUUCCUCGGGGCAUGCCUGUUUGAGUAUCAUGAACAUCUCAACUCUCAUGGUCUUCCGUGAUGAGCUUGGACUUUGGGGGUUUGCUGGCCCUGUGGCCGGCUCCUCUCAAAUGGAUCAGCUUGCCAGUGUUUGGCGGCGUCACGGGUGUGAUAACUAUCUACGCCCGCGGCCGUCUGUCAGGUAACCCUCAGCGAUGAAGGUUCAUUGGGGCUCACAAAUGUCUCUCCCCGGCGAGGACAACUUUUGAACGUUCGAUCUCAAAUCAGGUAGGACUACCCGCUGAACUUAAGCAUAUCAAUAAGCGGAGGAAAAGAAACUAACAAGGAUUCCCCUAGUAACUGCGAGUGAAGCGGGAAGAGCUCAAAUUUAAAAUCUGGCGUGCCUUUGGUCGUCCGAAUUGUAGUCUGGAGAAGCGUUUUCGGCGCUGGACCGUGUAC
rnacentral:rRNA from 1 species